rnacentral:rRNA from 1 species
GACGAACGCUGGCGGCGUGCUUAACGCAUGCAAGUCGAACGGAAAGGCCUGCUUUCCCUUGUGGAUUGCGGGUACUCGAGUGGCGAACGGGUGAGCAACACGUGAGUGAUCUGCCCCCAACUUGGGUAUAAGCCUGGGAAACUGGGUCUAAUUCCCGAUAGGACUGCAGGGUGGUGCCUGUGGUGGAAAACGAUUUUCUAGUGGUUGGGGAUGAGCUCGCGGCCUAUCAGCUUGUUGGUGGGGUAAUGGCCUACCAAGGCGGCGACGGGUAGCCGGCCUGAGAGGGUGGACGGCCACAUUGGGACUGAGAUACGGCCCAGACUCCUACGGGAGGCAGCAGUGGGGAAUAUUGCACAAUGGGCGGAAGCCUGAUGCAGCGACGCCGCGUGGGGGAUGACGGCCUUCGGGUUGUAAACUCCUUUCGACCGCGAGGAAGCCACCUGGUUGGAAGGGUGGUGACGGUAGUGGUAGAAGAAGCACCGGCUAACUACGUG